GGUCAUGUGACUGCCACCUCAACUGUAUCCCUCACCUGCAUGCUUUCUACCUCUGUGUGCAAGAAACUGGCAGCCAUGCUGGGUGUAACAUUUUGAUACCAGAAUUUAGAAGAGAACCAGGUGUGAAAUGGAAUUCGAGUAGACCUGUGUAGUGACCUGUGUAGUGUACAAGCACGGAGCUAGCCCCUGUCGGAAUGAUAGAGGUGUUUUCUACGUUACGUCUUGUUUGUGCUACGGUUGCUGUUGUUUUAAAUAAAUGGUGGAAACAAAGUCCGUCGUAGUCUGUGAUGAUUCCCCAGAUGGGAGAUAAACCCCACCCCCACCAAAAUAGUAUACGAAUAUCUAUAAUUAAACUCCCAGCCCUGCAGGUGGGGGAUCGGGAAAAGAAUACACAUGCUGUUACCCACUGCAUGUAUCUUUGGAGGCGACUGAUGCGGGAACCCCCAUGCAGAAUUGGAGAAUUGCCUUGGUGUCCUCUAUAUUUGGGGACACAAAAGGCACCAAAAUA